GGUGUGCACCUAUAGUCCCAGCUACUCAGGAGGCUCAGGCACGAGAAUCAUCAGAACCCAGGAGGCAGAGGUUGCAGUGAGCCGAGAUCGUACCACAGCACACCAGCCUGUGUGACAGAGUGAGAUCCUGUCUCAAAAAACAAAACAAGACAAAGUCUCUUUGGGGAGAAACGGAGGGACAUUUGAAUAGGGAAUGGGUAUCAGACAAGACGAAAGCACUACUGCCAAGGAGAAGAGGAGGUUAACUGAAAGACGCAGGUUACAAAAUUGCAGGUUCUGUAUGAUCUCAUUUUGGUAAGAAGUACAUACAUGAAAAACUGCAUUUAAACAUCAGGUUUCACUCUGUCGUCCAGGAUGGAGUGGAGUGACAGAAUCAGGGCUCACUGCAGCCUCGACUUCAGGCUCAAGCGAUGAGUGGCUGGGACUACAGGCAUAUGCCACUACACCUGGCCAGUUUUUUGGUAUUUUUAGUAGAGAUGGGGUUUCACCAUGUUGCCCAAGCUGGUCUCAAACUCCUGGAUUCAAGUGAUCUGCCCACCUUGGCCUCCCAAAAUGACAGGAUUACAGGUGUCAGCCACCAUGCCUGGCCCAGUUAUAUUGAUUUUAGACUUCCAACCUCCAGAACUGUAAGGGAAUAAAUGUGUGUCAUUUUAAGCCACUGAGUGGUAACUUGUCACAGCAGCCAAUACAUCAGUAGAUAGGAAAGUGCUGACAUCUCCAGGGGCUAGAACGUGGUUUCUAGUUUCUUAAUUUUGCUUCAGGAUUUUUUUCUCUUUUCUGUUUUUUUUAGAGACAGGCUCUUGGUUUGUUGUCCAGGCUGUAGUGCAAAGGCACAAUUACAGCUCACUGAAGCCUCAAAUUCCUGGACUCACGUGAUCCUCCCAUCUCAGUCUCUUGAGUAGCUGGGACUACAGGCAGAUGCCACCAUACCGUGCCUGGCUAAUUUUUGUUUAUCUUUUAUAGAGAUGGAGUCGGGUGCGGGGGGUGGGUCUCACCAUAUUGGCCAGGCUGGUCUUGAACUCCUGGCCUCAAGCAACCCUCCCACCUUGGCCUCCCAAAGUGCUGGGAUUACAGGUGUGAGCUGCCAGCUCCUGGUCUGGCUUAAGCCUCCAGCCCUUCUACUUCUUUAUUCCAGGGGCCUCUACCCUAUUUCAAGUACGAGGAGAGACAGAGAUUCACAAAACUUUUGUAUCUGGUGCAGGGGCUCACACCUGUAAUCCCA
rnacentral:lncRNA from 10 species